rnacentral:rRNA from 1 species
ACUCCUACGGGAGGCAGCAGUGGGGAAUUUUGGACAAUGGGCGAAAGCCUGAUCCAGCAAUGCCGCGUGAGUGAAGAAGGCCUUCGGGUUGUAAAGCUCUUUUGUCAGGGAAGAAACGGUGAGAGCUAAUAUCUCUUGCUAAUGACGGUACCUGAAGAAUAAGCACCGGCUAACUACGUGCCAGCAGCCGCGGUAAUACGUAGGGUGCAAGCGUUAAUCGGAAUUACUGGGCGUAAAGCGUGCGCAGGCGGUUUUGUAAGUCUGAUGUGAAAUCCCCGGGCUCAACCUGGGAAUUGCAUUGGAGACUGCAAGGCUAGAAUCUGGCAGAGGGGGGUAGAAUUCCACGUGUAGCAGUGAAAUGCGUAGAUAUGUGGAGGAACACCGAUGGCGAAGGCAGCCCCCUGGGUCAAGAUUGACGCUCAUGCACGAAAGCGUGGGGAGCAAACAGGAUUAGAAACCCCUGUAGUCCCAUGA